AUGAUCCCUCCCUGUCCUGGCUUUCCAUGUUCUCUGUUCCAAGGAGGACCCUUCCAGUUGCGACAUAUUGUGCUCUGUGUCCUGAGCAGUUUUACAGGUCUAAACUAUGGUAACUUACCAACUUUCGUUCUCUGCCUUCCUUCCUCUUUCCUUCUUCCUUCCAUUUCUUUCUCUUCCUUUUCUUUCUUUCUCUUCCUUUUCUUUCUUCCUUUCUUUUUCUUUUCUUUCUUUCCUUCUUCCUUUUCUUUCUCUUCCUUUUCUCUCUUUCUCUUCCUUUUCUUUCUUUCCUUCUUCCUUUUCUUUCUUUCUCUUCCUUUUCUUUCUUCCUUUCUUUUUCUUCCUUUUCUUUCUUUCCUUCUUCCUUCCUUUUCUUUCUUUCUCUUCCUUUUCUUUCUUUCCUUCUUCCUUUUCUUUCUUCCUCUUCCUUUUCUUUCUUCCUUUCUUUUUCUUCCUUUUCUUUCUUUCCUUCUUUCUUCCUUUUCCUUUUUCUUCUUUCUUUUUCUUCCUUCCUCCCUCCCUUCCUUUCUCUCUUUCUCUAUCUCUUUAUCCUUGUUUGUCUUUCUUUCUCUCUGUCUCUCUGUCUCGCUCAUUCCUAAGACUGAGCCCCACGCGGUGCCUGCAGAGAAUAACAGGCCCCUCAAAGGGAGCCCAGAGUUCAGGGACAGUUUUGAAAGCAGCCUGUUUGAUGUGCUUCGGGGCAUAGUCUGAAAGGGCCAUUCAGGGUUUCCCCGGUAGUGCUCCGCAGUUGUGCGGGGUGAAUGGAACGGGGCUCUUUCUAAGUGCUGAAGUUCAAUAACAAACCACUGAGGCCCCCAACAACACACCAGAGGCGGGGCGGCCCCUCGGCCAGACAUUCUUAUCCUGGCAUCCUCGGGGGCAUUUCAGGGUCCGGGGAUUUGGCGGGGAAACCUCUGUCCUCCCCGGACUCUCUAGUAUAAUCCUCGGCCAAAACAAGACGCGGAGAAGUCUCCAGGCUCGGAGUCACCCCCCUCUCGGUCCCUCCCAGGGCCCAGCCCCCCACGUCCCUCAUUCUCUUGGUCGCCAGUUUGGGGGAGAGAGUAAAAGGCUCUGGGGCGGGUUACGGUGGAGGGCCGGGCAGGGCGGGAGCUUUCCUAAUGCUCGUGGGAGGAGGAGGAGGGACGAGGCUUCUUGACUCAGACCGCUUCCGAGCAUCAGCCCCUUCCCCGAGCCCGCAGGCUUGCGGCGUGUCAUUUCCCUCCACAAGGAGUGCCUUGAAGGAGGCAGGCUAGGAGAGCCCGGACGUGAAAGCAGUGUGAAGGCCGGGGACCCCUGGGAGGGGGGGCCGGAGCCCAGGACACCCGGGUCCCUGAGGAGGUGGAAGGGGGUGUGGGGCAUCCCCCAUCCUGGGAGGUCCUCGAGAGCUGAGGCCGGGAGGGGGGACUCGGAGGAGCAGGACGUCCGGGUUGCGUGCAAACAACAGCCACGACAGUUUUUCCUCAGUGUUUAAUAGAACCCCACACGCGCAUCAAUAAAUAAACCUUCCUCCGCGCCCCCGCGCGCCCC
rnacentral:lncRNA from 1 species